rnacentral:rRNA from 1 species
AGCGAACGCUGGCGGCAGGCUUAACACAUGCAAGUCGAGCGGGCCCUUCGGGGUCAGCGGCGGACGGGUGAGUAACGCGUGGGAACGUGCCUUCUGGUCUGGAAUAACCCUGGGAAACUAGGGCUAAUACCGGAUACGCCCUUUUGGGGAAAGGUUUACUGCCGGAAGAUCGGCCCGCGUCUGAUUAGCUAGUUGGUGGGGGUAACGGCCUACCAAGGCGACGAUCAGUAGCUGGUCUGAGAGGAUGANCAGCCACGCUGGGACUGAGACACCGGCCCACGACUCCUACGGGAGGGCAGCAGUGGGGAAUAUUGGACAAUGGGCGCAAGCCUGAUCCAGCCAUGCCGCGUGAGUGAUGAAGGCC